ACAGAGCAGGAAUCUGAACUUCUUUUACCUCCAAAGAGAGUGGUGGCUUCUUUACGCCCAAGCCGUUUCACCAGGAAUCUCUCUGUCUCUUUGUCUCUGUGUGUGUCUCUCUCCCUUCCCCUCCCUCUUUCCCCAUCUCCUCUCCUCUCUCCCUCUCUUCUUUGUAGACAGGAACUUAUGUAUCCCAGACUCUGGAUUUCUCCUGCCUCCACCUCCCACGUUCUGGGAUUAUACGUCUGUGAGCCUCCAUCAGCCACUCUACAAACGUGUCCUGUGAGUUAGACCUUCAUGUGACUAUUUCACACAGUAAACAAGGCAAGUGGCUGAGAGUCACUCUGAGAGAGGCCAAGCAGCAAGGAGGGUUCUAAGACCAGCCCUGCUGCCUGGGAGAAGCAGAAACCAACCGAGGCACCGGGAAGAGGCACGCUCCGAACCUGUUGAGCUACCUGCUGGCUGUACAGUGUGCUCCAGGUGCCCAGCUUUGAGAGCAAGCGGUCAGCCAUGCUGAGUGGGCUUUGGUGAUGCAGCUGUCUCUGGGUCAUCUUUGUUCCUCUAAGAACCCCUCACUCUCUUGUAAGUGACCACAAUAAAACUCAUUGCUCACAAA